rnacentral:rRNA from 1 species
UACGUAGGAGGCGAGCGUUGUCCGGAAUCACUGGGCGUAAAGCGCGUGUAGGCGGGAGGCAAGUCUGCUGUGAAAGCGCCGGGCUUAACCCGGCGAGGUCGGCGGAACUGCUCACCUGGAGGCGGUAGAGGGGGUGGAAUUCCCGGUGUAGUGGUGAAUGCGUAGAGAGUCGGAGGAACACCUGUGGCGAAGGCAGCUCGCUAACGAUCAUUGACGCUGAGGCACGAAGCGUGGGAUCAACAGG